rnacentral:rRNA from 1 species
GAUGAACGCUGGCGGCGUGCCUAAUACAUGCAAGUCGAGCGAACAGACGAGGAGCUUGCUCCUCUGACGUUAGCGGCGGACGGGUGAGUAACACGUGGAUAACCUACCUAUAAGACUGGGAUAACUACGGGAAACCGGAGCUAAUACCGGAUAAUAUAUUGAACCGCUUGGUUCAAUAGUGAAAGACGGCUUUGCUGUCACUUAUAGAUGGAUCCGCGCCGCAUUAGCUAGUUGGUAAGGUAACGGCUUACCAAGGCAACGAUUCGUAGCCGACCUGAGAGAGUGAUCAGCCACACUGGAACUGAGACACGGUCCAGACUCCUACGGGAGGCAGCAGUAGGGAAUCUUCGGCAAUGGGCGAAAGCUUGACGGAGCAACGCCGCGUGAGUGAUGAAGGUCUUCGGAUCGUAAAACUCUGUUAUUAGGGAAGAACAACUGUGUAAGUAACUAUGCACGUCUUGACGGUACCUAAUAAGAAAGCCACGGCUAACUACGUG